AGUCGAGUGCGCGUCUGUAGCAAUACAGAUGGCGCACGGCGCACGGGUGCGUAACACGUGGGUAAUCUGCCCUUCGAUGGGGAAUAACCUCGCGAAAGCGAGGCUAAUUCCGCAUAACAUUCCUAAGACUUCGGUCCCUGGACUCAAAGCCGUAAGGCGUCGAUGGAGGAACCCGCGCACGAUUAGCUAGUUGGUGAGGUAACGGCUCACCAAGGCUAUGAUCGUUAGCUGGUCUGAGAGGAUGGCCAGCCACACUGGAACUGAGACACGGUCCAGACUCCUACGGGAGGCAGCAGUGGGGAAUCUUGCACAAUGGGCGAAAGCCUGAUGCAGCGACGCCGCGUGGGGGAUGAAGCAUUUCGGUGUGUAAACCCCUUUCGACCGGGAAGAAUGCCUCGCAAGAGGACUGACGGUACCGGUAUAAGAAGCCCCGGCUAACUACGUGCCAGCAGCCGCGGUAAGACGUAGGGGGCCAGCGUUGUUCGGAAUUACUGGGUGUAAAGGGUUCGUAGGCGGUGUGGCAAGUUGGGAGUGAAAUCUCUGGGCUUAACCCAGAGGCUGCUUCCAAAACUGCUGUGCUUGAGCGUGGGAGAGGUGCGUGGAAUUGCAGGUGUAGCGGUGAAAUGCGUAGAUAUCUGCAGGAACACCCGUGGCGAAAGCGGCGCACUGGACCACAACUGACGCUGAGGA
rnacentral:rRNA from 1 species